GUUAAAUCCAAAAAAAUACCAACCAUCUACCUGCCACUAUUAGGACUACACAGCUUUAAUAAAAAAGAAAAAAGAAAAGAGGAAAGAGUAGAGAGUAAAGAUCUUCACCGCAGCCCAGCGGUAGCGAAGGCAGACAACAUAUUCGCCAAACGCCGCCUCCACCACUUUCCGACUGCUUCUCCACCUGCAGCCGGGUUGCGCGACGUUUCCGCCUCGCCUAAAGGGAAUCGUUGUUCUUCAUUACUUGUUCUUCAAUUCAUAUUGUAGUUUUGCCCCAAUUUCUUCUGACUAAAAUUGUAGGUUGGAGCAACCUUAGGUCAAAGAUCGCACCAUUAGUGUUGAAGAUUUCAACCAUAAAGUUUAUCGUUGGAAUUCUUCAGCUUUGUGAAUUUUUUGAACUUUUAGGGGUGCAGUAAAGCCCCAAAGACUCUUGGGUGGCAGGAGGAAGAUUGAUAAGGGUGGAAUUGAGGGCGUUAAACAUGUUGAGAGCUUAUUGACUUCACCUGCAAUCAAGUAUUCAAUAAUCCGAGGGAGCGGCCUUUCACCUUUGAGGAGAUAGAUGAAGUUCGAGAAAUGUUCGCAAACUUCAUUACUAGUGAUCGUCUUUGAUAUUUUCUUGUACUGAAUCUUAAAUUAUGGAUGCUAGGUUUUCAUAUAAUUGUAAUGUAAACGACUUUUAUAUUUAUAAUUGUAUACUAUUUAAUUUAAUUAUCUA